AUAUAUAAUGAUAACACUGAGAAUCUGUAAUGUGAGAUAUGAUGAUAAGU
rnacentral:guide_RNA from 1 species